AAUUAUUAAUGUAGAACCCAGUAACUUAAAAGGAUUAGAAUCCCGAACCCAUAAACUUCAAAUCCUGGCUCCGCCUCUGGCAGCUAAAGUUAGCGUUUGUACUUGUCAUGUGAAGAUUGAGUUUGAACAUUUUAAGACUUUUGUUAUGUGCUGGACUACUUUAUUUUAUUUUUGAGUUCUUUCCUUGCAUUUGUUACUCCUUAUACUGUUGGACAUUACGGGCAUCCCCAUUUCAAGACUGCUGAUGGUAUAGUGUAUAUCAUAUGUUGGCAAUGAUCCAUUGUUUUGAGUAUGUGUUGCUAAACGUAGUACAAGAGAGUGAUUUGGAGAACAUGGCUUCUAAAAUGCCCGGCUGCCACAGAGGAGGCUUUGCACUCUACAAAUUAAUGGUACAAGGUGCAAAUAAUAACUAAUAUCUUCAUUGCGUUGAUUGAGGAUGUUGUAUCCUCUUCAUCUCUUGUAUGCCUGAUUUAUACAUGUUCGUCUUGCAUUCCUUGAUGUGCAACCCGAUGCUUUCAUAGGUCAAAAGAAAACUUUCCAUGUAAAUGAGCUCACCUGCAGAUAUGCGAGUUAGUCAUAUUGAAUGGCAAGUUUGCUUCUUUACUUUACUAUGUAUUGAGCUGUAUCAGUUGUAUUUUGUUACUUCUGGAUAUAUUGGAAAAUUGGCUUGCAUCCU